rnacentral:rRNA from 1 species
UACAGAGGUCUCAAGCGUUGUUCGGAUUCAUUGGGCGUAAAGGGUGUGUAGGUGGCGCCGUAAGUCGGGUGUGAAAUUUCGGAGCUUAACUCCGAAACUGCAUUCGAUACUGCGGUGCUUGAGGACUGGAGAGGAGACUGGAAUUCAUGGUGUAGCAGUGAAAAUGCGCAGAUAUCAGGAGGAACACCGAUGGCGAAGGCAGGAUCUCUGGGCCAUAACUGACGCUGAGAAGCGAAAGCAUGGGGAGCGAACAGG